rnacentral:lncRNA from 1 species
AGGAGAGCUCAAUAGAUGUUAGAACUGGAGACCACAACAACUGGAUUGGACAAAUUCACUAUGCAUGGAGCAGCUUCACCAAACUUGUAUUUAUGGAAUCUCAUCAUUAGAUGUUUCUUUGCUUAGGGUCACUUAAGCUAAAACUAAAGUUAAAUCCAAUGACAGCAUGAUUCACUAGAGUUCCCCCUGAGUCCAAGUCCUUACUGAAGCUACCUGCUAAAGGAUCUAGCAUUCCAUUAAUCAUUUAUUCAUUAAGAUUACAUAUGUCUGCCUGCAUACAUCUCUUUCAAAGUAAAAAAUGCUGAGAGAAAAAGAAUCAUUAAGGUAUUUUCAAUGUUUAGUGCUCUAUGGUUUGUUUGAAUCUCAGAGAACUUCAUAAUGUGUCCAACAUCAGCUUCUAACCUGGAGGAAGAAGUAGUUCCAUGUAUCCUGAGGAAGCUGCUGCCUUUGUCUGAUUGUGAUCAUCCAUAGGACCUAUAUGUAUCUCGUAUUCUAUGAGGGAAUGGGAAAAGAUUUCCAUGAUAAUACUUCUCUUAUGGCUCAUAACUACUAGAACAAGAGACUGUUUUUCAUAUCAGCUUCAGAACGAUUAUUAUGAAACUCUGGCUGCCUCCCUGAAUCAUCUUCCACCAGAAGGUGUAAAAGUUCCCUUGGUGCCUAUAGGUUGUUCAUUGUUCUUGUUUCAC